UGUGCGCGCGCAAAGCCUUGUAAAUUGACGGCCAAAUUCUUGUCCUCUCACCAAACAGAGUGUUUGCCGUGGGCAGUCUGCUGGCAGGACGGGCGCAAUGAAAGAGCCGUGAAGAUUGACUCGAUAAUGCAAUUUUGAAGCGUCUGCGCAGGUGAAAUGGACAUGAGCGGCCCCGGGCCCCACAGACACAAUUGGCUGGAUCAUCUUUACCACGAAGAACAUGACAAGGCAGACUUUAUAUGAAAAUUUUAGGAGGGAUGUGUCGGGGUACCUGUUGUCCUGGAGUCAGGUGAUCUGAAGUCAUUUCAUCUGAAGACACCUCGAGGGCUUUGCAGUGAACUGAGAAAUGGGACAGAGCGAACAGAGACGGACGGAGAUGAAAUGAGAGGAUGUGCAGCUCGCUGGUGUGAUGGUUGAGCGCACGGCUGGUUCGACCAGAAAGAAACCGCACUGCUGAAUAAAGAGAACGGCGGAGAAGCAAUCUGCAGGAGUAAUGAAGAUCAUCAGAGGAGAAAUGUUUAGAGAGCAGAACCUCUGUGAUGGAAACACUGGAGGAGCCGUGAGGUGCUGAAGAUGAAAGACAACACAGACACGAUGACAUAAAGAAUAGAAUACAUCAUUGUUUAAAAACAAGAUUAGCAGUUUGACCAUUUCGAGAAAGAAAUUGGGAAAGAAAUGCCUUUAAAACAAUAUCCUCUCUGGUUUUGCUCGCAGUCUCUGUAGAUGCAGUUUUAGCGACAGGUCUGUGAGUUUCUUUCAGAAGUCAUUCUUCAAAAGAAAGUGCAAAAUGCUGGAUUGUUUUCAACCCAUGUGUUGAAAACAAGACUUAAGAGGCCAAAGUGUGACUGUUAGCAUCACAGAAUGACUAAUGCUAAAUAGCUCUGACAUGACAUCCUGACAUGUGACUCGUCCUUACUAAUCACCACUUUCAUUAAAAGCAAACCACAGUAUACAGUCUUGGGUCAAAAAGACACAAACUCAACUGUUUUAGCCCAGAAAAUGUUCAUAUUUUUAACCCCGGACUCUGAAUUAACAAACUUUCCAUUGAUGUAUGGAUUGUUAGGAUAGGAAACUAUUUGAAAAUUUGGAAUCUGAGGGUGUAAGAAAAUCAAAAUAUUGAGAAAAUGGCCUUUAAAGUUGUUCAUCAGAGGCGCUGCAGAGAAAAAACAGAUUUGUUUUAACGCUGUCUCUUGGCUUACUGCUGUUAUGACGUUGUUGAGAGUAGAUGAACCCGAAAGCUAAAAUUCUAAGGUUUACAUGGAUACCAAACUUUGUUUUUCUCGUUUGUGUCUCCGGCCAUUUUUUGUGCUGCAUUUAUGCACAAAAAUAAAGUUUUCAUAUGAAAUGCACAAAAUAUCUUCAUGGAACAUGAUCUUUACUUAAUAUUCUAAAUGAUUUUUGGCAUAAAAGAAAAAUGGAUAAUUUUGACUCAUACAAUGUAUUGUUGGCUUUUGCUGCAAAUAUACCCGUGACUGGUUUUGUGCUCCACUCAAACAUCCAGUUCAGUUAUGACUCACCGCUUUUUGACCCAACCAUGGGUUAAAAAAACCCAGCAUUUAAAGUGUAUAUAGAAAUGUGCGAAAACUAAAUGAUCAUUUUAAAGUUUAAACUGGUUAAAAUGUUAUCAUGGUAUUCAUUUGAAUAGUUGAAUAACACUCAUAGAAUGUAAGACGUUCAUCAGUUUUUGACAAUAGAAAAGGAAAUAUCACUGCUUAUUUGCACUUUUUUAUUUUAUCUUAUUUAUUUGUUUGAAUUCUGUUCUUUGCAACAUAUCAAAUCAAUCAAAUAUUUUUUGUGUGUAAUUUAAGCCAACAAAACGUUCUUAAAUGAUCAAUAAUAACAACGAAAGGUUUAAGUAAAAGACAUAGUUCAAGUUUGCAGUUGGUUGUUUACAGAACUCGAGUUCAUUUACAGCUGGUUUCAUUUAAGUUAAAGAUACAUGAUGCAUGUUUUGAAGUGGCUAGUGUUAGUUUUGUUUGGGAGUGACACAUGGCUGCCAUAACUGUUCUGUCUUUAAAAGACUCCGAGUUUCUGUACAGUGUUGGGUGUAACUAGUUACUAAGUAAUUAAUUGAAUUACUUUCCCUUGAAAAAGUUCUGUAAUUUAAUUACAGUUACUUCUGAUGUAAUUGAACUAAAAACGGUGUAAUAUUCAAUAGUGGAAACGACAUCAAAAUGAUAAAUCUAACUUUAAAAUGUAUGCUUUAAUGUAUCCUUCUCACAUUUGUAAUACUUUGGUCAGUUA